rnacentral:rRNA from 1 species
AUUGGACUACCAUGGCACGUCACGGGUAACGGAGAAUUAGGGUUCGAUUCCGGAGAGGGAGCCUGAGAAACGGCUACACAUCUACGGAAGGCAGCAGGCGCGUAAAUUACCCAAUCCUGAUUCAGGGAGGUAGUGACAAGAAAUAACAACUCGGGGCCUCACGGCUUACGAGAUUGCAAUGAGAACAAUUUUAAAAUCUCUUUAGCGAGGACAAUUGGAGGGCAAGUCUGGUGCCAGCAGCCGCGGUAAUUCCAGCUCCAAUAGCGUAUAUUAAAGUUGUUGCAGUUAAAAAGCUCGUAGUUGAAUUUCUGAUUAUGGAUGUAGCGGUUUCCGUUACAUUUGUAGUCAUCCACAUGAGAACCUUUCUCGGCCUUCACUGGUCGGUUGGGGGAUCAUGUACUUUACUUUGAAAAAAUCAGAGUGUUUCAGGCAGGCGUUUGCAUGAAUACACAAGCAUGGAAUAAUGGAAUAGGACUAGGGUCCAUUUUAUUGGUUAUUGGACCAUAGUAAUGAUUAAUAGGGACAGUUGGGGGC